UUUCAGCAGGCAUUAGAAAGGAGUGGAAGGUUGCAGGCACGAGUUAAUGAUGCCUGGUCAGCUGGCUCGUUAGCUGGUUGCAUGAUUUAACGGGCAGGUAUUGCUACCGUCUAAUCACCUGGUUGCAUGUGCAUCGUCAACAUGCACUUUUGAGCACCACGACGACUUCUCUUGUAGGACGCUGAGUAGGACUACUGUGUUGAGACAAGUUGACCGUUGCAGAGAACGCGCUCUCAUGACACUGCGUGCAUCGAAAAGGACAAAAGCUUGAAGAAAAUUCCAGCGAUCGAGAAAAGAUGCCUCUCAAUGCAAUGCGUAACACCACUCCUCCGUAAAAAUAUACAUCAGAUUCACAAUGCAAUCUUAGCUCUGACUGAAUAUUUGUUUCUCAGUAUUGAUGGAUGGAUGGAUGGAUGUAAAACUUUAAUGAACGUCCUGAGGUACGCGACUCCGCGCGCAGCGGGCUGCUCCCACGUUGGGACUGUCAGGCCAUGCCCGACCGCCGCAUCUCAGUAUUGAUGCAAUUUUUAUUUAGUUCGUGAUGAUGCGUUUAUAAUACGUGAAAAGCGAUACGUUCACAAAAAUAUUUGUGCCUCAUUCAUUGCACUCUUCGAGUGGGCCAUUCUGAUCAUCAAAAAAAAAAAAAAUGUGCUUCCGGGUAAAGGGGAAAUGGGUCACGCCUUGCCUAAACAUUCACCCGUGAGUGGUUAGGUGCCAAAAACUUUAAGGUCAUCAUCGUCAUCAUCAUCAUUCGUGAUAGCCUUUACAGGGGCACGACUUGCGUGUGCAAGUAGACAGUUAUAAAACUGGUGGGCUUUUCGAUGAAUACAUUCAACGAAAGAUGUCCUCAUGCUUCCCUCCCGGCUUGCCUCCAACCGGCCACCGCUCCUUCGUCACAUCCAAACACACCCACAUUUAGAUUCGACGACAAUGUCGCAGGUAUCUUAAUCCAAUAGGGGCAUAGUGAAUGGCUAGCAUACGUUAGGCAAAGCAUGCAUUUUUUUUUAUACGAGAGAUCCAGGUAUACCGGUUCUCACAUUACCCGUCCUUGAAACGCUUUUGGAGAAUUAAGCCUCAGUAUAGACCAUCUAGCAUUAGAGUGGUUUUCGUUUGCUGACGGACUUGCGUUUCCUGCAAACAUGCUUUUCCUUUCGACGUUGAUAUUGCGGACCGCUAGUGCCUCUGAGGAUGACGUGCACACUUCCCCCAUUUCCUUUCCUUUCUCGCCUUCUUUCAUUAUUUUACUCUCCUCCUACCCUACGCUACUUGCCUGUGGACGGUUCUUUACGCAUAUUUAAUGCGUUUCUUCCAGCUCGCUCUGUGGUCACUAAAGGCCGACCUCUGUCCUUUUCUCGACAAAAGUCCUCUCUCUCUUCCUCCUUUGCCAUUGGCGUAGGUGGAAAUAAUAAAUUAUGAAGGUUCUAUAUAUGUGUGCUCAUGCGUACGCGUGCGUGCCUGUGCAUGCAUACGACAGUAGAGACAGAAGUAUUCAAGGGGAAAACGAAGAGAAAGAAAUAUUUCUCCAUGUCUAGAGGGUUGCUCGUGUUUUAUGGAGAGUCUGCUUCAGCCCGUUUCGCCGCAAUUGGAUCUCCCCUCUUGCACUUCCUUUUCCUACGCCCACUGAGAGCUUUGAUGCACGAGGAUAACAGCUUCCUCGAGCCUUGCAUUGAAAUCCGUCGUUACGGGUACGUGCUGAGAUUCUAUGGUCAGUCAACGAGUGGCCGCGGCAUGCUUUUGAACACAAUCUCUCGGCGUCCCGCCAUUACUCUCCAGUAAGAGUGUUCGAGCUCAAGGCUUAACAGAUGCACCUGCGACGUGGCUCGCGGGAAUUGUUGAUGCACAGUUUUUUUUUCCGGACGCGCACUAUAUAGCGAUGCAGCUGGUCGCCGAAGAAGCCCGCGAACGACAACGUGCAAAGCAAGCCUUUCUUUUUUUUUCUUUCCCUCCUCGAAAAACGUCCUCCCAUUGUUCGCCAUAAUGCACGAUGCAUCAAUGCGCACCGGUGCACACAAUGCCGGGCACGAGCUAUACGCAGUGGCGGCCUGUCGGUGCAAACGUUACUUUCGUCUCCACUCUGCGACCCGCCCCCUGUUGCGUUCUUGCAUGCGUAGCUUCCCACUGCCGCAGCGCCUGGCAUGGAACGAAACGACAGAAGGGGCAGUGAUGAGCCCUCUUUCCCAUGGCGUUGAUCGAUUUCGUUCGUGUGUCUCGGCAAGACCUGCCGUCAGGUCCGAUGUGGCUUUUUUCCCAAAAAAUUGGCUGCAUAAGACGAUGUUGACACCUGAGAAUGGUUCCGGCUACUCAUGGUCCCAGAAAAGUGUAAAUACGCGUAUACUGAAAGGCAAUUUACAAGGAGUAGUAAAGGGCGAGAACGUUACAGAAACCGGACAAGGCGUAGAACGACACAAAUACCAAAAGAGAGGAACUCAUCAAAAAGUAUCACAUUCACAAAAUGCAACAGCAUAGAAAUUGCAAAAGGAAAUGCAAAAGGAAAUUGCAUUCCAUAUCACUGCCUUCCAAAAGGAACAAUAAACAUAACACGAAUUAUCACUCUGAUUGUGCCAAAAGCUAGAUUUUCAUAAAUAUGUAUUUAUACUGGUUAAGGACCCGACAGCUUCCCUAUAUGCUCACAUAUCUCUUAUCAAGAGUAGUUAGUUUCGACACCAGUCGACGGCUUGGAUCGUGGGGUUUCGGGCACUUUAAUGUAACAUGCUUAUAUCCUCAAAUACGUUGCUUCUUUACUAUAAGCGCACCAUGAAGUCACGUAUGAUAUAUAAUAUAGCAAUAAAGUGGCACAGAAGCCUUUGUGCGCUGACCAAUGACGGUUAUUUGCAAUGCCUGGUCUACCAGGUCUGCUGGAAACACAUGCUGUAAAGUCAAGCUUGUCAGUCAGGGCUCUCAGUAAAGUGAAAGAGAUAGAAGAAAAAAAGUCCUGCUUGUCCUGUACCCUAUAGGUGUCCUAAGUCACGCGCGUGGUAACUUACGGGCUUAACAUCUUUAACGCAUUUAGCGCUCCCUUCCUGAUUCCAAAGUGUACCUUUGAUGGCCACUGAACUCCUGUACACUAGCGUUGGCGAACUAUGGCGAGGAACAAGUAGUGCCCUUUGUUCAUGUGAACCGGGUCCGAAUUUUCUCCAGCAUGAGUUCUACAAGACGGGCCCAUGUUCGUCAGCAGUGUUCUGGUUUUACCAAGUUGCCAGCGACAAAAUCCCGCUGUUUGUUCAGUCGCCCUGUAGACAGUGCAUUGCCGUCUUCUUGACAGCUUAAAAGUGUGACAUCACAUACGAUGUAGGGAACAGCUUGUUAUUUUUACCAUGCAUCCUAGGUCAAGCAAAUAGGUGUCAAGCUAUAGUUAAUUAAGCUUUUCUUUUUCAAUUUUUUCUUUAGAAUGUCGUGUUGAAAGUGCUCUGUCUCUAUAAUUGCGGUUGGGUCGUAAAACAAGGUGAUCUUCUUCGCUGUUUCUCGUGGUACCAUGCGAAACAUUGAUGACACAAUGAACGUGAGUUCAUCAGGUGCGUCAUUCCCCGCAGAAUACGAAACGUUGUCCCGAUCGUACGCUUGAGCGUUCAUUCACUGUACAUUCAUCAUUGUUCCGUUACCCACGCAUCUGAAACAGUUCACUCCGCGGCCACAAAAUUUGCCCUUGAAACCUAGCCCUGUGUCUUCAUCUCCUCUGCCGUGCUGCGUGUCAUUUCGCGCUAUACGUCAAGGCAUGCCUAGAAUAAUUUGAAAAAGAAAUGUUGGGCAAAAUAGCUGUCGAUGAAUUAUAGUAGGGAACGCGUCGACACAGCUGUUUAUGAACCAUGGUAGAGAACUUGUCCACAAUGUUUUAUCGUUGAGGCGUUGAUGCCGUAGCUGUUAGGUGGUGCAUUUGAGACAAGCAGUGUCAACACAAGUUCAAUUAGCUGUUAAGUUUCGCAUCUUAUUGUACUGCUUCUGGAGAUCUCCGCGUAGACCAGAUUGAAUUAACGACAACCCUUUGGCUUUAACUAUUACACGGCAUUUCCUAGAGGUGCCUAGUUGCUACUGCAGAGCGUUCUACAGCAUUUGUGCAUCAUAUGUUUCAUGCUGCUUGAAAGCGCCAUGUUUGAUAUGCACGGAACCUUUACUGUUCGCUCCGGUAAACCCUAUACGCUGAAGUGUUUUAUUUCAUCCUUGCUCCUGUUUGGCUUUUGUGCGGUGCCUGUGUUUUACGUAUACUGAACUUUAUCACUUUCGUCGCCUUUUCCCCUCUCUACUCUAACGCCUUUGAAAACUACGUUCAGCAAUCAUAUUCGCCAUUUGCUUUACUGCCCUGUUAUGUUUUUAUUAUUUUUGUCAUUGACGUCGCCUCCACCCAUACGUAUAGUAAGCCAUGCCUGCGGCACUGCGUGUCAUGUGUUUUCUUUUCUGCAAUACUUAUUCGCUUUCUGCCUGCAUGGAUUUUGUACUCUGUCUUGCACUUUGCACUCCUGCACGCGCGAAACUGCUGACACUGGGAUAUAAACGCAAGUGCAUUUAACAUCAGAAUCAAACGCGAGAAAUGCAGAAAAUAUUUAAAUAUCAGACGCCUUUCCGUGGCUAUUUGGCAUCUGGCCAAGCGUUAUUAUCCACAGCUCUUUUAAGUCUCAGAAGAUUACAAAAUGCAGUUCCUUGCAGCCAUCUGUGAGUUUUCUGUAAAUGUUUCUGCACCUAGUACAUCUGCAUGCACAAAACGGCAGCACUAUAGGCUGUAAAUGAAAGUGUAUUUAAUAUCGAAAGCAAACACCACAAAAAUUAACUAAUAGCGAAGACACCUACCGUGAGAAUUUCGGCAGUUGGCCAAUUUUAUUAGACAUUGCUUACGCUUAACGCGCGGGUGAUUUCAGAGCUGUGAAUCUUGCCCUGUCAUUGUGCAUUGUUCCACACGUUACAAUGAAAACUUUUGACGCCUGCUUACACAAUUCUCCUGCUUCAGCAGCCAUCUAAUUGUCGGCACCUAUUAUAUAUUAACUUAUCAAUAGGUGUAGGGGUUGUCAAUUUUCACCCAUCUUCUUACCACGCAGAAAAUGUUCCACACGCAUCCGCAUAGGCUGCAUGAAGCUUCUGUCUUCACGUUAGGCUUUCAGCUUGUCAUAAUCACAUGGUGCGUGUUGCUAUCAUAACAAAUGUGAUAUUUCUCUGAGGCACUUAGAGAAAAGAAAAUGGGUAUGGUAUCUGCGCAUAGAAUAGGGCGUACCUGGCUUCAAUUUCUUGCAGCGCAAGUGACCCUCUUUGAGUGCAUCGAUAAAUGUUAGUGCAAUAAACAAUAAAAUGAAUAUAGUACAGCAUCUUGUAAUCUUCCUUGAGGAUUUCUUGUUAUUUUCUGAAACCCAUGGUUCAUGUUUUUUUUUGUUGACCACAAGCAUCAUGAAGUGCAGGUGCCAGGAAUUGCCUACCUUCAACAGUCGUCUCCAAGUAGGCAAACAACUUCAACUGGCGUAGUGUAAUGUGUACAGUGAGAGCGACUGGUUAAAUUUGGAACUUAUAAGAACUGAGCAUUGUCAACUCAGUGCCUCAAAGAACGCUAGUAAUGCUGAACGUUCAAUGAUUGGGCUGCUUGUCUGCGAAGCAAGCAAGCUCCCGAGCCGUUCAAAGGAUGGUCAUUCAUGUGUUACCACUUCAGGCAGUGGUAAGUGGGCGGGACCUUGUUGGUGCGUACAGAAAUGCUGAAAUCCCCAUGAAAAGUCCUGUUUAUUGAUAUUAUUGCUGAUAUAGAGCACGCCAAUUCGUAUGGUAUUUUCUGAUAAUGGAUUGAUUCUACAGGAAGUUUGAGGCUAACUGGUGUGCAGUGAUUCAAGCAUGUCGUAAUUUUGGAUGUCGAAGAAUUGCCCACUUACAUUAAACUUACCAAAAGGCUAUGUUCACGUCAUCUUUAAAAAACACUAGAGGACGAAGAUACUAGCUUACGCAGACAUAGUACUAUCAUAAAGCUGUCCAGUGCUAUUACUUAAAGCAUGACCUUAAAGUAAAUCACAGAAUGAUUCUACACCAGAAUGGCACCAUUACGGAAAAAUGUUGAUGUAUAAACGUACGCAUAAACGCAAACGACACAAGCUUAAGAGAGAGUUUACCUCAAACCUUUCCUAUCAUGCAGAUCUAAAACACAGCAAUGUUCUCAUUGGGCGAUUGCUCAGACUAUUUGAGUGAGAUAUCUUAACUUUAGAAGAACUAUAAUCGAAUGUUAGAGACUGUUGGUGGCACACUUUUCGUAUAGGUAAUCAGGUAAUCCAUUAUUGUAAUAAAAAUUGUCAGCGUCAUUGUCGUCAUCGUCAUCAGUCUAUUUUACGUCGUAGUAUAUCAGAUACUUAAAACAACUGAAGCGCAAUGUUUUCAGCCUCACAAGUAUGCAUUUGGAACAAAUAUCUCCUAAUUAACUGAAUGUAUACUUAAAUAUCACAUUUCCGAGAUCAUGCUUCUGCAAGCAGAUGUCACAAUUACGAUAUCACACUUCUAGAAACACGUGUCAAACUUCUGAAAAUGGAGUGUAUCAGUCUUAACUGACAGAUUAAAUUCGGCAGCUCUAGAGGUUCCUAACGCUUUAAUGAAAUUGCGGUACGCGUUCUUGGUAGGAGGCUAUUGAUCUGUUAGCUUGGUCACACAAGUAUGUCCUUUUAUUUAGUAAAAUUUCAGCGCGGAAAGCUAUGCAACAGAAGGUCAGCCGUAUGGGUGUACAAAUUACACCCCUGCACAGAACAUACUGUCUUUGGAGGUCGACGACAGCUUCGGGUGUAGAGUGCUGGUCUCAUCAUCAGGCGCCAAGCCUGUCUGUCGGCCAGCGCAGCCGCACCAAAACAGUUAAAGUAAACAAUUAUCUCGCGCUCGUAACCCCUACUUUUGACUGAACGGGUUAAGAAACGACGAAACUACCCGCGCCGCCUAAUUCCAAGAAAUGUCCACAAGCAAAACAGCUCAACGUGUGAGGGGGUCGUAUUGACUGGUAAACUUUACGAGUGCGUCUUUCUGCACACUUCAAGAGCUGCAUUGCAUUGCAAGCGAUAGCGCCGUAACUGCCCCCUCUUAUGGUGGGCGCUGAAAAAAAAGUAUUUAUUGAUAAUGAUAAAAUAAAAUGGAGUUGUCUUUUCUUUUCUCGCCUCGCGCAGUAUAAAAUUGAUUAGGCAUUUUAUUUUCGUUGAAUGAAUUAACCUAACCUGUGUCUCGUUUUAAAUAAAAACGUUUUUUUUUUCUCCCAUUAUUUGUUCCCUCUUCACAUAUUCGCGCUUGAAUCGCUGUUCCAUAACCACCCUUGCUGAUGUCGGUGAGAAUUUGUUCUGACCCGCUUUUCGCCGCAAGCUUCACGACCUAUUUGGAUGGACCUUGGAUGCUGUACAGAAAGGAAAGGAUUGCUUGAUGUAGCCAAGUGACAUGGUACUGUCAGAGUGAAUAACCAUGGACCGAAAGAAUCGAAUGAACUUCUAGAAUCACAGACCAAAUUCUUAGGAAACAUAGUUUGAGACGUUCGCGGGAAAUAAGCCUCAGCACCCGGCCGGUGCAAGCGCUUUGCCGGCACAUAGGUGUUUACGGUUCCUGUCGAACUGCUUCCUAGCCAUGACGUAGUUUCAUCACCGCUUCCACGCACUCGUCGGAGCUCCAGCUGUUGCGCAGGCAAUGUUGGAUUUGUACACCUCUGACCGAUUACAGUUCAUCCUUUUCUGGCUACAGCAGCACCGCAAUGAUGUAGCCAAAGGACAAACGGUUUCCAG
rnacentral:lncRNA from 1 species